rnacentral:rRNA from 1 species
AACGCUAGCUACAGGCUUAACACAUGCAAGUCGAGGGGCAGCAUAUUUUUAGCUUGCUAAGAAUGAUGGCGACCGGCGCACGGGUGAGUAACGCGUAUCCAACCUUCCCAUGGCUCAGGGAUAACCUUGCGAAAGUAAGCCUAAUACCUGAUGUCCUCUUUAGCAGGCAUCUAAAGAAGAGGAAAGAUUUAUCGGCGAUGGAUGGGGAUGCGUCCGAUUAGCUUGCCGGUGGGGUAAAGGCCCACCGGGGCGACGAUCGGUAGGGGUUCUGAGAGGAAGGUCCCCCACAUUGGAACUGAGACACGGUCCAAACUCCUACGGGAGGCAGCAGUGAGGAAUCUUGGUCAAUGGGCGCAAGGCCUGAACCAGCCACGUAGCGUGAAGGAAGACUGCCCUUAGGGUUGUAAACUUCUUUUAUAAGGGAAUAACGUCAGUAACGAGUUACUGAUUGCAUGUACCUUAUGAAUAAGGAUCGGCUAACUCCGUGCCAGCAGCCGCGGUAAUACGGAGGAUCCGAGCGUUAUCCGGAUUUAUUGGGUUUAAAGGGUGCGUAGGCGGGAGCGGAAGUCAGCUGUGAAAUUUUAUGGCUCAACCAUAAACUUGCAGUUGAAACUCCGUUUCUUGAGUACACAUGAGGUGGGCGGAAUUUGUGGUGUAGCGGUGAAAUGCUUAGAUAUCACGAAGAACUCCGAUUG